rnacentral:rRNA from 1 species
GAUGAAUGCUAGCUACAGGCUUAACACAUGCAAGUCGCGGGGCAGCAUGGGGGUUGCUUGCAACCCCUGAUGGCGACCGGCGCACGGGUGAGUAACGCGUAUCCAACCUGCCCUUCACCACGGGAUAACCCGGCGAAAGUCGGACUAAUACCGUAUGUUGUCCAUUGACGGCAUCCGAUUUGGACGAAGGGCUUGGCGGUGAAAGGAUGGGGAUGCGUCCGAUUAGCUUGACGGCGGGGUAACGGCCCACCGUGGCUACGAUCGGUAGGGGUUCUGAGAGGAAGGUCCCCCACACUGGAACUGAGACACGGUCCAGACUCCUACGGGAGGCAGCAGUGAGGAAUAUUGGUCAAUGGGCGUAAGCCUGAACCAGCCAAGUAGCGUGCAGGAUGACGGCCCUAUGGGUUGUAAACUGCUUUUAUGCGGGGAUAAAGUGGCCCACGUGUGGGCUUUUGCAGGUACCGCAUGAAUAAGGACCGGCUAAUUCCGUG